rnacentral:lncRNA from 1 species
CCCGGCCCGGAGCGCCGCCCGCCCGCCCGCCGCGCGCUCCAACUCCGGCUCGGUCCGCGGCGCGUCCGCGCUGCCGGCUCCUCGCCGCCCGCCGGAGCCUCGGCGCCCCUCCGCAGCCAGCGGCUCCGCCCGCUAUGGCCCGGGCCCCGGGGCCCGCCGCCCCCCGCCCGCCGCCCCUCGCGCCCCAGGGGCUCAGCUGAUCCUGAAUUGGCGGGGGGCGGCUGGCGGGGCUGGAGGUCCCCUGCGAUCUCCGGCUUCGGGGGGACGCGUCGCCCCCGCGUCUCUAACCUGGACCACCCCCCGCUGCCCGGCCAAGUCCAUGCCAAGACGGUGGCCGGGGGCCUGCCAGGCUGAGCCGUGUGCCGAGGUGGUUGGUGUCAGAGCCGGGACUCCGACAGUGCUCUCGGCUUCCCGCGUCCAUGCUCCGAAACACUGCACGACAGAGCCUGAGGUGGUUGUCGUUAGUAUCUGGGGCUUCUAAGGUUCUGGGUGAGUCUAAGCUGUUCUGAUUCUGAGGUUCCUGGAUUUUAGUAUUCUCGGAAUGAAUUUGUUGUUUGUUCUUCUAGUUGUAACAAGAGCUGGUGUGUGGUUGUUGACAAAGGGAUAAACAGGUUUUCUGCCUGUGAAAACACACACACACACACACACACACACAUGUGCACACAUGCGCGCACACACACACGCAGAGGGCCUGGGCGACCAGAACGGGCCUCAGGUCUGUCUUCACCGGGACUCUGAGCUCUGCAUACACAGGGCCUCCCCACACCAUGCUCCACGGGCUCUGGAGUGCCAGCUGGAAGAUUCUGGAAUGCAGGUUUCCCCGUGGACUUGGGAGGACUUGGGGAGGUCUUUGCCCACACUGAGGGUCUUGCCUGGACCAACAGCCAUCUCGGUGACUUGACUGGGACGGCAGGCCUGGUUCCCUGCCCCAGGGUGGUGCCUGUAAUGGUUAUGCUUGGGCUCAGGAGGAGCAGACCUGGACUGGGACCCCAACUCUGCCCUAUACCAGCUGGGUGACCUUGGGCACUGCUGGACUUUCCUGGGCCCCAGUUUCUUUCCCCAUAAAGUAGGAAUAAGCAUGAUCUGUACAUCAUGGGAAUCGACAUAGGCAAUGUACAGAAAGCUGUUUGCCUAUUGCCUGGCACAGAGCCAGAGUCAGUCAGAGCCUCUGUGAUGCUGUGGGGAUAGUGGUGAUGGU